GCGGAGAAACUAAGUUGAGCGCGGUACUUCCAGGGACGUGGUGGGAGUCGAACUCCAAACCUCUCGCUUACAAAGCGAGCGCUCUUACCACUACACCACUGCCGCAUAUAUAUAUAUAUACUGGCUUCGGCAGGAAUAAAAACCGUACGGGCUAUGAAAAGCCCGUCUUAAAUAGACUUGGCGGGCUAUGAGGGCCGCCCGUCUAGAUAGUCUUGCACGGGCUUUUUUAAACUUUAAAAAAAAUUCUAAAACUUUUUUUUUUUAAAUUUGUUAAUUUCUCUCCUUCUUUUUGAAUAAAAAUGUCAUUGAAUAUUAAACAUUUUGUGAAUUGCACUAAAAUGAUAUGUUAGAAAGCGAUUAACUGUUUAAAAUGCUUAAUUACUUAAGUAACUAAAACACUGCAGUAAAUGAGUUGAAGAAUACUUAAAACUAAGAUUUCAAUAAUUGUUUUUCAGAAUUUUCACUUGCACAGAUCUAAUUUCGUUUCACGUGGAUAAUAUCUGACAGAUAUAGUCAAACGAAUGAACGUGAAAACGACGGGAAAAAUCCUCGAAACAACCAUGGCGUUUCAUCACGUUUCCUUAUUCAAGCAUCCUAACGUGUUUUUUUACCGAAGUCUUUUUGAGUAUAUUUAUAUAUUAUUGUUUUAUUCAAGUAUUCGAUUAAAUUAUACAGGUUUU